CUUCCGGCGGCGGCGGGCAGCGCGUGUGGGAGCGAGCGGGCGGCGACUGUUUACUUCCGGCCGCCGGGGCUGAGGCCGAGCGCGUCGGGCGGCGGGCGCGGCGGCCCCGCGCAGCCAUGGACUGGCUCAUGGGGGUGCACACCGGCCAGGAGCGGUUCACAGCCUCGGGUACCCAUCACUCUCCGAGCAGCAGCUGAACUCAGAGACAGUGGGAAGAGGGAAAUGAGGCCGGAGCGGAAGUUAACAGUGUGGAGGAACAUCAGUCUUCCACAGAGAGUUCAUCGAGGCUGGAGUUGGAUUCUCUGAAAAUAGGAAUACAAUAGAAAAUCAGGCAAGUGAUCAAGACAGGAAAAAGGAGAUGGCACAGAUAGCCCGUCUUCUUCCUAAGUCAUGCUGGCCAGCCAGAUAUGCAUAUUCAAAAAGAAUCUUGACCUGUACCUCACACCUGCAAAGAACAGUUGAGCCGAGUAGAAUGUAGGUCUCAGUGUAGAAGGUUCUGGAACUGCUUAGCCACGUAGCUGGGCAGCACUGGAGAUGUCUGAGUGUAAAAUAUACAGUGGCACCUUGUGUGUUUUGUAUUGAUCGGAAAUCGAAAUGAAAAUAUGUUAGAUCUGAUGGGUUAAAUAGAACGAACCUUGGCUGCUGCUUUUGCUUUUCAGUGGGGCCGUUGGAACAUGUAAAAUGACAUCCGCUGCUCGGAUUACGGCUUGUGUCAUAUUUCUCUUGCACAGCACUGUUAUAGAAGAUGCCAUUCUUGACCCAUGGGUUCAGAAAAGUUUUUUAAAACAGGACUAGAAAGUACUCGUCAUCAAGGAAAAGAUAGAUAAUUUGGUUUACAUUAAAAUUAAGCAGCUCUGUUUAUCAAAGAUAUUCCUCAAAAACUGAAAAGGCCGCUGGGCACUGUAGCUCACACCUGUAAUCCCUGCACUUUGGGAGGCCGAGGCUGGAGCACUGCUUAAGCUCAGGAGUUCAAGACCAGGCUGGGCAACAUAGUGAGAUCUUAUUUCUACAAACAAACAAAUAAAAUUAGCUGGGUGUGGUGGCA
rnacentral:lncRNA from 13 species